rnacentral:rRNA from 1 species
UACGUAGGUCCCGAGCGUUGUCCGGAUUUAUUGGGCGUAAAGCGAGCGUAGACGGCCAGACAAGUCUGAAGUGAAAAUCCAGCGCUUAACGUUGGAAGUGCUUUGGAAACUGCCGGGCUGGAGUGCAGGAGGGGCAGGCGGAAUUCCUAGUGUAGCGGUGAAAUGCGUAGAUAUUAGGAGGAACACCAGUGGCGAAGGCGGCCUGCUGGACUGCAACUGACGUUGAGGCUCGAAGGCGUGGGGAGCAAACAGG